AUUGAACGCUGGCGGCAGGCCUAACACAUGCAAGUCGAACGGAGCGGCGGACGGGUGAGUAAUGCCUAGGAAUCUGCCUGUUCGUGGUGGAUAACGUCCGGAAACGGGCGCUAAUACCGCAUACUAUCAGAUUAGCCUAUGUCGGAUUAGCUAGUUGGUGGGGUAAAGGCCUACCAAGGCGACGAUCCGUAACUGGUCUGAGCGGAUGAUCAGUCACACUGGAACUGAGACACGGUCCAGACUCCUACGGGAGGCAGCAGUGGGGAAUAUUGGACAAUGGGCGAAAGCCGGAUGCAGCCAUGCCGCGUGUGUGAAGAAGGUCUUCGGAUUGUAAAGCACUUUAAGGUGGGAGGCGUUACCAGCAGAAUAAGCACCGGCUAACUACGUGACAGCAGCCGCGGUAAUAC
rnacentral:rRNA from 1 species